rnacentral:rRNA from 1 species
UACGGAGGGUGCAAGCGUUAUCCGGAUUUACUGGGUUUAAAGGGUGCGCAGGCGGAUAUGUAAGUCAGUGGUGAGAUCUCUGGGCUUAACCCGGAAAUUGCCAUUGAUACUAUAUAUCUUGAAUGCUGUGGAGGUAAGCGGAAUAUGUCAUGUAGCGGUGAAAUGCUUAGAGAUGACAUAGAACACCUAUUGCGAAGGCAGCUUACUACGCAGAUAUUGACGCUCAUGCACGAAAGCGUGGGGAUCAAACAGG